GCCACAUUGUAAGAAGGAUGUAAUUAUACUAGAAAAAAUACACAAAAGACUCAACAGGAUAUUGCCUGGGCUGGAGUGAUCCUGCUAUGAAGAAAGACUAGAGAGGCUGGAAUUGUUUUCCUUGGAGCAGAGAAGGGUGAGGGAGGAUCUGAUUGAGGCAUGCAAAGUUCUGAGGGGUAUAUACAGUAGGUAGGGAGAAAUGUUUUCCCCUUCGUAGAGGUAUCAGUAACCAGGCGAGCAUGAUUUAAGAUAAGGAGCAGUUCAUUUAGAGGGAUUUGAGGAAAAUGUUCAUCCAGAAGUUUGUGGGUAUCUAGAACUCACUUGCUAAAAGUGUGGUAGAUGCAGGAACACUUAAGACAUUCAAGAAUUAUUAAGAUGACCACUUAAAAUGCCAUAAUGUACAAGGCUAUAAGGCCAAGUGCUGGAAAAUGAGAUUAGAAUUGACAAAUGUUUGAUGACUGACACAGACAUGAUGGGCUGAAGGACCCUUUCUAUGAUGUAAAAAUCUGAUUCUAUGACCUUCACUUAAGUAAUUGCACCAGUUUUAAUUUUUUACUGUACAUAAAAUACACAUUUUAUAUACCUCUUUUAAUAUCUCCAUGUUCUUUUCUCAGGAAAGUUAUCAAAAUACCUUUUUUUUCAAUGUGUAAGUGCCAUAACUGAAUGAGGAUAUUAUCUAUUGGUUUUCAGUAGAAUGGGUGGAAGGAGAAUAAACAAAUUACUUGCGAUGUACAUACUUACCCCUGAUAGAUUUGAAACUUCUGAUCAGUAUACAGCCCUGAAAUGAUGGAAAGAAUAAAUCAAUUAGGGCCGCUAAGAAAAGCCAGCAGAAGACCCACCCUUAUCAAACCAAGUCCAAACAUGCACAGCCAGGUUCCCAAAUGUAGCUGACAUCUAGAUCAUUCGACAUUCUCACAAAGAAGGCGACUUUCAGCUGAAACCUUUAGUGGGAAAAACUGUAGCAAUUGUAUUCUUUUAUAAUCUAAUUGCAAUAAACAUACAGUAAUGACCAUUUCA